rnacentral:rRNA from 1 species
UACGUAGGGUGCGAGCGUUGUCCGGAAUUAUUGGGCGUAAAGAGCUUGUAGGCGGUUUGUCGCGUCUGCCGUGAAAUUUCGAGGCUCAACCUCGAACUUGCGGUGGGUACGGGCAGACUAGAGUGUGGUAGGGGAGACUGGAAUUCCUGGUGUAGCGGUGAAAUGCGCAGAUAAUCAGGAGGAACACCGAUGGCGAAGGCAGGUCUCUGGGCCACUACUGACGUGAGAAGCGAAAGCAUGGGGAGCGAACAGGA